GGAGUGUGUGAAGGCUCUACAAGAGGGUUAAAUGGCCGUUUACCAGCAUUUCCAUGGUUCAUUUAGCCUAUAAAACAAAUAACAAUAGGCCCUUAAUGUGCUGAUAUAAUGUUUUGGCAUCCAUCUUGAAGAUUGUAGUAUCCUGUAUUCAAGCAACAGAGCAAACUAGCACUGGGAAGUUUGAUAGAUAUGGAAACGGAUCUCUAUUCCUAUAUGACCGUGCUAACUUCUGGAAGAUUCUAGAAAUCUAUACAUCUGAGGGUUAUUCCGGAGAAGCAAUGAAGCCAGAUCAGAAAUAUCUUGUCCAUCAACUGCUCAACAUAAUCCUUUGGACAGUGCAAAUUUAUGGCAUAGUGCAUAUCGGCAUAUCGUAAAGACUUUCUAGAAGCUGAAGAAGAUCUAUAUACGAUUCGAGGUUCAAAUGAUCUUUCAGGCCUAGCUCCUGCAGUUGUUCAGCUAAACUUUUUUGCUGAUGUCAUCAUAAUUUACUGACUCUUCUACUCAAUGUGCAUUGAACUGACCGAAGAUUGACCAGCUCCUUCAAAUGAACGGUUCUUAGACGACAGUCAUAUUGAAGAUUUACAGUUGUUGCUGUAUAGUAAGAAUGAAAAUCACAUGUCAGCAAGGAACGUUGUUAAGAAUCUAUGUGACAAACUGAAAGUAUGUGUCACAGGGAUCUGAAAAUACCUGAAAUUUGUAGAAACCAAGCUCCGUGAUGUUCUAAUAUAUAUGAAGUUUAUGACGCUCGAAAACAGUUUACAACAAAAUAUGGAAAAGAUCUCUAUCAAUCUGCUAUUUGUUGUAGUUUAGAUGUUGUUUCGUUAUUU
rnacentral:lncRNA from 1 species